CCUGGGGACCCUGAUAAUAUGCAAAUUCCAUUUCAGCAGGUCUGGGAAUCUGCAUUUCUAACAAGGUCCCAAGAGUUGUCAA
rnacentral:pre_miRNA from 1 species